GAAACCGUCUUAUUGAUUAUGAAACAUCAAAUACCACGUUAACCUUUUAUUCGACUCUUCUCUCCUUGUUGAAGAAGGAGAAAAUGUCUCUUGAACCGAAUAAUUUGCAGGAGUCCAUGGAGACAUGUGGAAAGCAUUCAUGGAUAUAAAUGGACCGGACCGGUAUCUUUGCAAGGGACCAGCAUCAUGCUAGUGGAUGAAACUGGACCAAAUCAGUGAUGUGAGGAGGAAAAGUACCACUGGUGGGAUUAUGUCAACCAGAGCAAAGCUGGUAGACUGCGGGCCUGAGGACCAAUUGCAGG